rnacentral:rRNA from 1 species
GAACGAACGUUGGCGGCGUGGAUUAGGCAUGCAAGUCGCGGGAAUCCCCAGCAAUGGGGGGAACCGGCGUAAGGGGCAGUAGGGCGUGGGCAACCUACCCCGGGGUCCGGCAUAGCCCGUCGAGAGACGGGGUAAUUCCGGGCGACAUCCCGACGGGGCAUCCCGACGGGAUCACAGGUCCGCCGUCCCGGGCGGGGCCCACGUGAUAUUAGCUGGUUGGUGGGGUAACGGCCCACCAAGGCGUAGAUGUCUAGCGGGUGUGAGAGCACGACCCGCGCCACUGGCACUGAGACACUGGCCAGACACCUACGGGUGGCUGCAGUCGAGGAUCUUCGGCAAUGGGGGCAACCCUGACCGAGCGACGCCGCGUGUGCGACGAAGGCCUUCGGGUUGUAAAGCACUGUCGAGGGGGAGGAAAGCCCGCGAGGGUUUGACCCAUCCCUGGAGGAAGCACGGGCUAAGUUCGUGCCAGCAGCCGCGGUAAGACGAACCGUGCGAACGUUGUUCGGAAUCACUGGGCUUAAAGGGCGCGUAGGCGGGCCGCCAGGCCCGCGGUGAAAUCUCCCCGGCUCAACCGGGGAAGUGCCGCGGGGACCCGGCGGUCUGGAGUGAGAUAGGGGCGUGCGGAACUGUGGGUGGAGCGGUGAAAUGCGUUGAUAUCCACAGGAACUCCCGGUGGCGAAGGCGGCACGCUGGAUCUCGACUGACGCUGAGGCGCGAAAGCCAGGGGAGCGAACGGGAUUAGAUACCCCGGUAGUCCUGGCCCUAAACGUUGGGGACUGGGUAGCAGGCCGGACAUGGGCUUGCUGCCGGAGCGAAAGUGUUAAGUCCCCCGCCUGGGGAGUAUGGUCGCAAGGCUGAAACUCAAAGGAAUUGACGGGGGCUCACACAAGCGGUGGAGCAUGUGGCUUAAUUCGAGGCUACGCGAAGAACCUUAUCCCGGGCUUGACAUGUGCGAAAGCGCUCGGAAGUAGCCCGCGGAAACGUGGGGCCAACGGUACCCAGUCCGGAGCCGAGCACAGGUGCUGCAUGGCUGUCGUCAGCUCGUGUCGUGAGAUGUCGGGUUAAGUCCCAUAACGAGCGAAACCCCUGCCCUCAGUUGCCACUCGUGGGACUCUGGGGGGACUGCCGGUGUCAAACCGGAGGAAGGUGGGGAUGACGUCAAGUCCUCAUGGCCUUUAUGCCCGGGGCUGCACACGUGCUACAAUGGCGUGGACAAAGGGACGCGAGCCCGCGAGGGGGAGCCAAUCCCAGAAAGCACGCCCCAGUUCGGAUCGCAGGCUGCAACCCGCCUGCGUGAAGCCGGAAUCGCUAGUAAUCGCGGGUCAGCAACACCGCGGUGAAUGUGUUCCUGAGCCUU